rnacentral:rRNA from 1 species
UACAGAGGUCUCAAGCGUUGUUCGGAUUCAUUGGGCGUAAAGGGUGCGUAGGCGGCGCGGUAAGUCGGGUGUGAAAUCUUGGAGCUUAACUCCGAAACUGCAUUCGAUACUGGCGUGCUUGAGGACUGGAGAGGAGACUGGAAUUCAUGGUGUAGCAGUGAAAUGCGUAGAGAUCAUGAGGAAGACCAGUGGCGAAGGCGGGUCUCUGGACAGUUCCUGACACUGAGACACGAAGGCCAGGGGAGCAAACGGGAUUGGAUACCUCGUAGUCA